rnacentral:rRNA from 1 species
ACUCAAAUGAAUUGACGGGGACCCGCACAACCGGUGGAGCGUGUGGUUCAAUUCGAGACAAAACGAAGAACCUCACCAAGGUUUGACAUAAUACCGUUUAUUUCCCAAGAAACUGGGAGAAAUCCGCAAGGAUGGUAUUACAGGUGCUGCAUGGCUGUCGUCAGUUCGUGCCGUGAGGUGUUCCCUUAAGUGGGGAAACGAACGCAACCCCUGUCUAAUGUUAAAUAUUCAUUAGAGACGGUCCCGAUUAUAUCGGGAAGGAAGGAAGGGUAGAUGUCAAGUCAGCACGGCCCUUACACCUUGGGCUACACACACACUACAAUGGCGAAUAACAACGAGUUGCAAGUACGUAAGUGCAAGCUAAUCUCUAAAAUUUCGCCCCAGUUCAGAUUGGGGUCUGAAACCCGACCCCAUGAAGUCGGAAUCGGUAGUAAUCGCAGAUCAGCAUGCUGCGGUGAAUACGUUCUCGGGUCUUGUACACACCGCCCGU